UAUCUCUCCGUACGGGGAAGGAUGAGAAGCUUCGACUAAGGUUCGAUUCGAGCGCAGCGAGAAAACGUUGCCGCAGGCAACGACCCGAAGGGUGAGGAGCGGAGCGACGAAUAAUCCUUCCCCCA
rnacentral:sRNA from 1 species